GCAUCGGUGGUUUAGUGGUAAAAUUAGCCGUUGCCAUCGCAUUGGCCGGGAAUUGAGCCCGGUUAAUUAAGAUGUCGGCUAGCCCCGGGUUCGAUUCCCGGCCGAUGCA